UACGAAGGGGGCUAGCGUUGCUCGGAAUCACUGGGCGUAAAGCGCACGUAGGCGGAUCUUUAAGUCAGGGGUGAAAUCCUGGAGCUCAACUCCAGAACUGCCUUUGAUACUGGGGAUCUCGAGUCCGGAAGAGGUGAGUGGAACUCCGAGUGUAGAGGUGAAAUUCGUAGAUAUUGGGAGGAACACCAGUGGCGAAGGCGGCUCACUGGACCGGUACUGACGCUGAGGCGCGAAAGCGUGGGGAGCAAACAGG
rnacentral:rRNA from 1 species